GGUUGCAAUCGCCUUGUCAUUAAUUCUGACAAUAUGGAAGUCAUUGAUACCAUGAAGAAUGGAGGACGUUCAGCAGGAGCGGCGGUGGCAGUGUUUGAUGAUUGUUAUUUUUUAGCGUGUGAUUUUCCUCUUACUAAUUUUGAGCAUUGUAAUAGGGAAGCGAAUAAAGUAGCCCAUGAACUUGCCAGAUUAGCUAAAUUUUCAAGGGAAUGGUUCGAGGAGCCUUUGAUCGAAAUUGUACAACCUCUAAUAGACGAUGUAACCGUUAUUUCUAAUUAA
rnacentral:rRNA from 1 species